rnacentral:lncRNA from 1 species
AGUCGAACGAAUAUAUGUGAAUAUAAUUAUGCAUGACCAACACCCCAGGUCUUGAGGAUACUCAAAAAAGGAAAAUUAUUAAAAAUAAAAAAUUUACAGAUGGUUAAACAACUAUAAUGAGCGUUCUCCCUCACUUUCUCCUCCUUCUUCUUCUUCCUCCCCAUCCACAGCCACCAGCUGACCGUUGACGACAUCUAUAGAAUCAUCGUAUC